UUCCAGCAAUAUUAACCCAGGAUUUCAUCCAAGGAGAUUUUGAGACGGAACAGGUGUGACCUUGGAAGGAUAGAAAGCUGAUCAGCUGAAAAUUAUUACCUGGAAUCAUCUGCAUCUGUAGGGUUGUGACAGUUGAAGAGAUGACAAGCUUGGAGAAGUUCCUAGACAUCAGGAAAUCAACAUGUUCACAAGGAAAUAUGCUUCAUAAAUAUCCAUCUCAGCCUGAAAAACAUCUAUAGCAGAAAAUCAUUAAGCCACCAGAAUGAGGCCAAAGGGAAAAAUGAGGCCAAAGGGAAAAGACAAUUUCUUAUUUGGGGUUUUGGUUCUCCCUCUUAAUCCCCUCCCCACUUCUGGAGAAAACAAUGAGGCAAAAUUUUUUAUACCAAGGUAAUAUGGUUAUACAAAGGAAAUGGUGUAAUCGACAUGCUGUUUGAACAAUAACAAUUUGCUGAUGCUUCCUUGAUCUUGUAGAUACAGGAAUGGUAAUGGGUGGAAUCUAUCCUAUUAAUGUAAGAUCACUAUGAUGGUUAAUUUUAUGUGUCAACUUCACUGGGCCACUGGGUGCCCAGAUAUUUGGUUAAACAAUCUUCAGGGUGUGUUCCUGAAGGUGUUUCUAGAUGAAAUUAACAUUGGAAUAGGUAGACUGCACAAGCAGAUUGCUCUUCCCAAUGUGAGUGGACCUCAUCCAAUCCACUGAAGGGCUGAAUAGAAUAAAAGGCUGAUUAAGCGAGAAUUUUUUCUCUCUGCACAUCUUUGAGGUGAGACAUCAAUCUUCUCCUGCCUUUGGACUCAGACUUGAACAAGAACCUAAAUCAUUCAGUCUCCUGGUUCUCAGGCCUUCGGACUCAGACUAGAACUAAACCUUUGGCUCUCUUGGGUCUGAAAUUCUCAGCCUCCAUUAUGUAGAGGCCAAUUUCUUAUAAUAAAUCUCUUUCUACAUAUUAUACUUCCUAUUAGUUCCGUCUCUCUGGAGAACCCUAAUACAACCACUGUGUUUCCUUUAGAUAUUCUUCCACCAUCUCUGAUAUUUCUGAGCACCAUUACAGUUCUAAAAUCCUGUUCCUUCCAGGUGACCCAUGUUAUUUUCAUUGGUAGCAAGCUGUAGCAAAUUGGAGGCAUUGGGCCAUGUAAGAGUUAACCAAAAGCACAACCAUGUGUAUAGGUCAUGAUGCAAGAAUACAGCGGAAUAACUCCCAUGGUGCCUUCUCAGAAUACAUUACAGAGGUGGAAUGAGAGGAAAGAGUGCAAUUCCAAAUGGAAACUGACCUACAACCCACAUCCCACUUCAAAUAGCUUUAAUCAAAUCUUGGAUUCUUUGAAAAUUGUUAAAUAUGCAUAUAACAAAAUGUGACCCGUUUUCAUUUUUUCUCUGUUUUGUGGUGGGUAUGAUCUUUCUGCAUACUUGAUGCUACUUAAUUGGGUGGAACAUGUGUGUGGUCUCUUAAAUUAUAAGCAAAAUAUCAGUAGCCACUUAUGGUUGCUCCUAAGAGAAAAUUCUGAUUUCAUGUGGA